GGAAGUUUGUUCCAGAUUUGUGGAAGCUGAAUGCUGCUUCUGGUUCUGGAUGGAGACCAGAACCAGAACCAGAACCUGAACCUGGUCGGUGUGGCCGGCUGACCCAGCAGCAGCAGAUCUUCAUCUCCUGCUAUUUUUAGUUCGGCGCUCCGCCCGGUUCUGGAGGAAAACACCAGGAAGAUGCUGCUGCAUAUUAAUAUCAGCGUCCUGGCAGCGAGCGGCGGACCGGGAGGUCAGCGGGUCAAGUUACAUGAGCAGAAACAAAAGAGUGAGAGCAGCGAGUCGGAUCGCUGACGGCGGCGCCCCGCCUCACUGAGGACAUCUGCUGGCGGAACAUGAGAAUGCAGCUCAGAUAUUUAGGAUUUUAAAUCCAUGUUGAACAUCUAACAAC